GGAAGAAAUGCUCUUUUCAUGCUUGGUUGCUAAGCACAGGGAAAGCCUUUCUAAAAAUGAAGCCAAUGCAGAAGAAAGCUGAGCAAAAGCUAGAGAGAAGCCAUAGUGUCAUAAUGCCUGGAUUCAGCGGCCUGAGAAGUACGAAGUGUUUAAGGGCACCCACAGGAAUGACCAGGACUGGAAUCUUGGCUCCACUACAUGCUUAUUGUGUAACCUUGGGCAAAUUACUUACUGGAAUCUCACUUGCAAGGCUGCUGUGAUGCUUGACUGAGACUGCGUGGUUCUAAGCACAGGGUAGAGCACCCAGUCCAGUGCUAUAAACGGUAGAUAUUGUGCAUAUUUAUACAGACAUUGAAUAAAAUUGGAGUCAUGCUGUUUUAUAACUUCCCCUUUUCACUUACCAGCAUGUCUUGAGUGCUUCCUCAUAUCUUUAAUAGCCUUCAAGAGCGUGAGAUUUAAUUUCUGCCCAGCCUGCCACCUCUGAACACGGCAUCAUCUAUUUACCCAAUUCCUGCUGUUGAACGUUUAGGGAAUUUCCAAUUUUCCCCAGUUAUGAAGACGACCAGGAUAAAUAAUCUUUGAUUUUAGGGUAUAUCCUGGAAGGAGAAUUGCUAAAUCAAAGCAUAACUCUUUUCAAAGCUUUUGGACAUUAAAAAAAUGUACCAAUGGUCGUCAGAAACGCUGCACAAUUUACCUCCUCGACAGAGAAAAAGGCACUGACUUCCACAGUCUACCAACAUCUGAUGUUUUCAUUAUUUUUAUCUUGACCAAUUCUAUACGCAAGAAGAGCCGGAAUCUUCUUUUCAUUUGUACUUCGCGA